rnacentral:rRNA from 1 species
AUCAACUUUCGAUGGUAGGAUAGAGGCCUACCAUGGUGUUAACGGGUAACGGGGUGUUAGGGCACGACACCGGAGAGGGAGCCUGAGAAACGGCUACCACAUCCAAGGAUGGCAGCAGGCGCGCAAAUUACCCAAUCCCGACACGGGGAGGUAGUGACAAUAAAUAACAAUACGGGGUCCUUUCGGGUUUCGUAAUUGGAAUGAGUACAAUUUAAAUCUCUUAACGAGGAACAAUUGGAGGGCAAGUCUGGUGCCAGCAGCCGCGGUAAUUCCAGCUCCAAUAGCGUAUAUUAAAGUUGUUGCAGUUAAAAAGCUCGUAGUUGAAUUUCGGGACUAGUACGCUGGUCGUGCCUUCGGUAUGUACUGGUGUUACUGGUUCCUACCUUCUGACGAACCGUCAUGUCAUUAAUUUGGUGUGGCGGGGAAUCAGGACUGUUACUUUGAAAAAAUUAGAGUGUUUAAAGCAGGCUCGCGCUUGAAUACAUUAGCAUGGAAUAAUGAAAUAGGACGUUCGAUCCUAUUUUGUUGGUUUCUAGGAUUGACGUGAUGAUUAAUAGGGAUAGUUGGGGGCAUUAGUAUUCAAUUGUCAGAGGUGAAAUUCUUGGAUUUAUUGAAGACUAACUACUGCGAAAGCAUUUGCCAAGGAUGUUUUCAUUAAUCAAGAACGAAAGUUAGGGGAUCGAAGACGAUCAGAUACCGUCGUAGUCUUAACCAUAAACUAUGCCGACUAGGGAUCGGAUGAUGUUAUUUUUAAUGACUCAUUCGGCGCCUUACGGGAAACCAAAGUGUUUGGGUUC